rnacentral:lncRNA from 1 species
UGCAGAGAGUCAUCAGCCAGGCUUGCCUUAAAUCAAAUCUUCCCAUGCAGCCUGGGUUAUAAUCUAGUGAGCACAGCAGCUGCCUAUUCGCAGCAAGGAGAAAAGCAGCACAUUUCUCCAGCCACUGGCUAGGAAAUUCUUGCUAAAAGAAAAGGGCUAUGCCUUGUCUGGUUCCUUUAUGGAAAUGUAAAGGAGUCAGCUUCCUGAGGGCUUUCACAGAUAUUGCUAAUCAUCUUAAAUUGAAACAGGACUUCCAAAACCAGCAUGUAAAUCCCCAUAACACACCUUCAAUUUCUGUCUCCAAGGCUACCCAGCUGUCCUGAUCCUCCGUGACAAGCUCUGGAAAUGCAGUGAUACUUCCUUUUGCACUACUCCUUCCCUGCUCCUCAAUCCCCCCUGCUCUGAAGUCAUCUUGCUUGCAUGAAACACCACUCCACAGCGUGGUGUUGGGAGCAGCCUCUAACAGUGCCCAUCUCCCAGCAUGCAAGAUUUGCCGAGGCACAGGUGAUGGAGCGUCCCGGCAGAGAGCAGGAGCCCUCAGCUGGAGGUCUGGGGUCAGAUGCAGCUUCUCUGAGUUACUUCUCUGACCAUUAUCCAAGACUCACAGAAGAUGUGCUGGAUGAGCUGAUGAGCCUUUUGUACUGCAGAUCUCCUCAGAACGCUGCAGGGUCAACAGCACAGUGCCAAACUAGAAUCAAUGAGGCCUUACGCAGACACUCAAGAAUAACAAGUCAACCAGUGGAUUUGCAGGCAGACUGUAACAGCUUGUUAUCUGAUGUCCCCUGGGCACAAACACUGAGACAUCUGCAGUUUUUGACCUUUUUUUUGUCUCUGCUGGCUCAAUAGCUAGUUAGCUGGUCAUUCAAUGUGAAAACAAAACAGAGGAAAGGAGAGCAAAUUGCAAUAGGCAGGAGAUGCUGGACAGUUAGGAUGCCAAAAGGACUGGAAAUAUGUAAGUACAGAGGUUGCUUUGCUCUGCUUUAUUAUUUGUGCAUUAAGCUCUCUGAGUUGGUUUUUGGAACUCUCUUAAAAGCAGGGUUUUCAAUAUGCCAGUUGUCACCGAACUUUUAUGUUGGUUUUAUUUUGCAUAUAUUUUGCAUCUCUAUUCUCUUUGCUUGGCACUGCAAGUUAGAAAUUAACCUGAAAAACACACGUUGAGACUUCACUGACUUUCCCAGACUUUUUUUUUUUUGUCUGAGAACACAAAGCUCUCUUCAUAGCAUCUCCUCUAGUCCCAUCAAGGGGAGGGAAGAUCCCCAGAAGACUGACUUCUGGAUCAUCCUUUGUACUGAGAUCUCAGUUCCUUGGAAUGCAGUGACUGCACUAGCUUAUAUGCAUGGGGGUGUGGAGCCUCCUUCCUGUUUCUAGGCUCUUGUUAAUAAAGAGUGUGCCCACAUUCUCA